rnacentral:rRNA from 1 species
UACGAAGGGGGCUAGCGUUGUUCGGAAUCACUGGGCGUAAAGCGCACGCAGGCGGAUCGAUAAGUCGGGGGUGAAAGCCCGGGGCUCAACCUCGGAAGUGCGUUGGAUACUGUCGGUCUCGAGUCCGGGAGAGGUGAGUGGAAUUCCUAGUGUAGAGGUGAAAUUCGUAGAUAUUAGGAAGAACACCAGUGGCGAAGGCGGCUCACUGGCCCGGUACUGACGCUCAGGUGCGAAAGCGUGGGGAGCAAACAGG